CCCAGGGUUCGGGCCUCUCUGUGCUGUUGCUGAGAAGCAUGGGCCCUGGUCUCCAGGGGCUGGACUCACUGAGGGCUGAGUCUGCUGUUCUCACUUGAGUGCCGAGACCCGGCAGGCACUGCUUCCUAAUCCAGCCGCUCCUCUCCUCCCUGUGGUGUCUGUGAGGCAAGGGCUCCCCAGAACACCUGUGCUUCACGCACACACACCACAUCACACACAGCACACAUCACAUUACACCACACAGCACACACACCUCACAUCACACCACAUACCCCACAUCACACCAUACACCACACAUCCCACAUCACACCACACACCCAACAUACACGAACCACACACACAUCACACAUAUCAUAUCACACCACACACCCCCCAUAUAUAUGUGC
rnacentral:lncRNA from 10 species